rnacentral:rRNA from 1 species
AUUGAACGCUGGCGGCAUGCUUUACACAUGCAAGUCGAACGGUAACAGGCCGCAAGGUGCUGACGAGUGGCGCACGGGUGAGUAAUGCAUCGGAACGUGCCCAGUCGUGGGGGAUAACUACUCGAAAGAGUAGCUAAUACCGCAUACGAUCUAUGGAUGAAAGCGGGGGACCGUAAGGCCUCGCGCGAUUGGAGCGGCCGAUGUCAGAUUAGGUAGUUGGUGGGGUAAAGGCUCACCAAGCCAACGAUCUGUAGCUGGUCUGAGAGGACGACCAGCCACACUGGGACUGAGACACGGCCCAGACUCCUACGGGAGGCAGCAGUGGGGAAUUUUGGACAAUGGGCGCAAGCCUGAUCCAGCAAUGCCGCGUGCAGGAAGAAGGCCUUCGGGUUGUAAACUGCUUUUGUACGGAACGAAACGGCUCUGGUCAAUACCCGGGGCUAAUGACGGUACCGUAAGAAUAAGCACCGGCUAACUACGUG